rnacentral:rRNA from 1 species
GACGAACGCUGGCGGCGUGCCUAAUACAUGCAAGUUGAGCGCUGAAGGUUGGUACUUGUACCGACUGGAUGAGCAGCGAACGGGUGAGUAACGCGUGGGGAAUCUGCCUUUGAGCGGGGGACAACAUUUGGAAACGAAUGCUAAUACCGCAUAAAAACUUUAAACACAAGUUUUAAGUUUGAAAGAUGCAAUUGCAUCACUCAAAGAUGAUCCCGCGUUGUAUUAGCUAGUUGGUGAGGUAAAGGCUUACCAAGGCGAUGAUACAUAGCCGACCUGAGAGGGUGAUCGGCCACAUUGGGACUGAGACACGGCCCAAACUCCUACGGGAGGCAGCAGUAGGGAAUCUUCGGCAAUGGACGAAAGUCUGACCGAGCAACGCCGCGUGAGUGAAGAAGGUUUUCGGAUCGUAAAACUCUGUUGGUAGAGAAGAACGUUGGUGAGAGUGGAAAGCUCAUCAAGUGACGGUAACUACCCAGAAAGGGACGGCUAACUACGUG